rnacentral:rRNA from 1 species
CACGUAGGGUGCGAGCGUUGUCCGGAAUUAUUGGGCGUAAAGAGCUCGUAGGCGGUGUGUCGCGUCGGCCGUGAAAACCUGCAGCUUAACUGUGGGCGUGCGGCGAUACGGGCAGACUUGAGUACUGCAGGGAGACUGGAAUUCCGUGGUGUAGCGGUGGAAUGCGCAGAUAGUCAGGAGGAACACCGGUGGCGAAGGCGGGUCUCUGGGCAGUAACUGACGCUGGAGGAGCGAAAGCGUGGGGAGCGAACAGG